AGCGGCGGACGGGUGAGUAACACGUGGGUAACCUGCCCAAGAGACUGGGAUAACACCUGGAAACAGAUGCUAAUACCGGAUAACAACACUAGACGCAUGUCUAGAGUUUGAAAGAUGGUUCUGCUAUCACUCUUGGAUGGACCUGCGGUGCAUUAGCUAGUUGGUAAGGUAACGGCUUACCAAGGCAAUGAUGCAUAGCCGAGUUGAGAGACUGAUCGGCCACAUUGGGACUGAGACACGGCCCAAACUCCUACGGGAGGCAGCAGUAGGGAAUCUUCCACAAUGGACGAAAGUCUGAUGGAGCAACGCCGCGUGAGUGAAGAAGGGUUUCGGCUCGUAAAGCUCUGUUGGUAGUGAAGAAAGAUAGAGGUAGUAACUGGCCUUUAUUUGACGGUAAUUACUUAGAAAGUCACGGCUAACUACGUGCCAGCAGCCGCGGUAAUACGUAGGUGGCACGCGUUGUCCGGAUUUAUUGGGCGUAAAGCGAGUGCAGGCGGUUCAAUAAGUCUGAUGUGAAAGCCUUCGGCUCGACCGGAGAAUUGCAUCAGAAACUGUUGAACUUGAGUGCAGAAGAGGAGAGUGGAACUCCAUGUGUAGCGGUGGAAUGCGUAGAUAUAUGGAAGAACACCAGUGGCGAAGGCGGCUCUCUGGUCUGCAACUGACGCUGAGGCUCGAAAGCAUGGGUAGCGAACAGGAUUAGAUA
rnacentral:rRNA from 1 species